rnacentral:ncRNA from 2 species
AUCGGAAACGGUGGGACGGGCGGCCGGGGAGAAUCUGGGAAGACCGGUGAGAGUCCGGCACAGGCCCGCUGCGGUGAACCGGGCCCCCGAAGGGGGGACCCGGCAAGUCCGAAGACCGGCCCCGCAUCCGUCAGACCC